GCCGCCGUAACGUAGAGGCUUUAUCCCAAGCCGCGUAAGCCUGGAGGCCGGGUUCAAAUCCCGGCGGCGGCC
rnacentral:tRNA from 1 species